GAGUUUGAUUCUGGCUCAGGAUGAACGCUAGCUACAGGCUUAACACAUGCAAGUCGAGGGGCAGCAUGGUCUUAGCUUGCUAAGAUUGAUGGCGACCGGCGCACGGGUGAGUAACGCGUAUCCAACCUUCCCUAUAGUAGGGGAUAGCCCGUAGAAAUGCGGAUUAAUACCCUAUGUUGUAUUUUGAGGACAUCUGACGAAUACCAAAGGUUCACCGCUAUAGGAUGGGGAUGCGUCUGAUUAGGUAGUCGGCGGGGUAACGGCCCACCGAGCCAACGAUCAGUAGGGGUUCUGAGAGGAAGGUCCCCCACAUUGGAACUGAGACACGGUCCAAACUCCUACGGGAGGCAGCAGUGAGGAAUAUUGGUCAAUGGGCGAGAGCCUGAACCAGCCAAGUAGCGUGCCAGGAUGACGGCCCUAUGGGUUGUAAACUGCUUUUAUGCGGGGAUAAAGUGAGGGACGUGUCCCUUAUUGUAGGUACCGCAUGAAUAAGGACCGGCUAAUUCCGUGCCAGCAGCCGC
rnacentral:rRNA from 1 species